AGAGUUUGAUCCUGGCUCAGGACGAACGCUGACGGUGUGCUUUAGGCAUGCAAGUCGAACGAGAAAGCCCUUCGGGGUGAGUAAAGUGGCGAACGGGUGAGUAACACGUGGGCAACCUGCCCCUCGCAGGGGGACAACCGGAGGAAACUCCGGCUAAUACCCCGUACGCUUGUUGGGUCGCAUGGCUCGGCAAGGAAAGGUAGCUUCGGCCAUCCGGCGAGGGAUGGGCCCGCGUUGCAUUAGCUAGUUGGUGGGGUAACGGCCCACCAAGGCGACGAUGCGUAGCUGGUCUGAGAGGAUGAUCAGCCACACUGGGACUGAGACACGGCCCAGACUCCUACGGGAGGCAGCAGCCAGGAAUCUUGGGCAAUGGGCGAAAGCCUGACCCAGCAACACCGUGUGGGCGACGAAGGCCUUAGGGUCGUAAAGCCCUGUUGAUAGGGACGAAGGGCGAAGGGUUAAUAGCCCCUAGCUUGACGGUACCUUUCGAGGAAGCCCCGGCUAACUACGUGCAGCAGCCGCGGUAAUACGUAGGGGGCGAGCGUUGUCCGGAAUUAUUGGGCGUAAAGAGCGUGUAGGCGGUUCGGUAAGUCUGCUGUGAAAUCCUGGGGCUCAACCCCGGGCGUGCAGCGGAUACUGCCGGGCUAGAGGAUGGUAGAGGCGAGUGGAAUUCCGAGUGUAGCGGUGAAAUGCGCAGAUAUUCGGAGGAACACCAGUAGCGAAGGCGGCUCGCUGGGCCAUUCCUGACGCUGAGNNGCGAAAGCGUGGGGAGCGAACAGGAUUAGAUACCCUAGUAGUCC
rnacentral:rRNA from 1 species